UAUAGCGGAAUCAAUGCGCGAGCUUUCAACUUUCUACGUAAUUUGCACAGCACACUUUGUUUUUAUUAUUUUUUAUUAGUAUUAUUAAUAUUGUAUCUGU